rnacentral:rRNA from 1 species
CCUACGGGAGGCAGCAGUGGGGAAUAUUGGGCAAUGGACGCAACUCUGACCCAGCCACGCCGCGUGAAUGAUGAAGGCCUUCGGAUUGUAAAGUUCUUUGAUGGGGGAUGAAGACAGUGACGUUACUCCCAUAGCAAGCUACCGUUACCGACGUUCCAGCAUCCGCCGUAAUCCGUAGGGGGCAAGCGUUAACCGGAAUGACUGGGCGUAAGGGUUGCGUAGGUGGUUGAGUAAGUUGGCGGGGAAAUUCCCGGGCUCAACCUCGGAACUGCCGCGCAAACUAGCAGGCUAGAGUGCCGGAGAGGGAAGUGGAAUUCCGGGUGUAGCGGUGGAAUGCGUAGAGAUUAGGAGGAACAUCGGGGGCGAAGGCGACUCACUGGACGGUAACUGACGCUGAGGCACGAAAGCGUGGGGAGCAAACAGGAUUAGAUACCCUAGUAGUC